rnacentral:rRNA from 1 species
UACGUAGGGUGCGAGCGUUGUCCGGAUUUAUUGGGCGUAAAGAGCUCGUAGGCGGCUUGUUGCGUCGACUGUGAAAACCUGCGGCUCAACCCCGAGCCUGCAGUCGAUACGGGCAGACUAGAGUGCUGUAGGGGAGACUGGAAUUCCUGGUGUAGCGGUGAAAUGCGCAGAUAUCAGGAGGAACACCGGUGGCGAAGGCGGGUCUCUGGGCAGUAACUGACGCUGAGGAGCGAAAGCGUGGGGAGCGAACAGG